UUAAAAAGAGUGGGAUAUGAGAAGAGACUUAUCCUGCGGGGUCUGCAAAAUGUCUGGAAAACCAGUUUGUGUUGGUGAUUUUGAACAAUACUCCAAGAGAGUUCUUCCAAAAGCAGUGUACGACUAUUACCGAUCAGGAGCAGACAAUCAACAAACAUUAGCCGAUAAUGUAGCAGCAUUUUCAAGAUUGAGGCUGUACCCACGGAUGCUCAGGGAUGUGUCUGUCAUGGACCUGUCAACCUCUGUCUUGGGGCAGAAAAUCAGCAUGCCAAUAUGUGUUGGAGCAACUGCCAUGCAGCGCAUGGCUCACGCGGAUGGAGAAACAGCCACCGCCAGAGCUUGCAGGUCGCUGGGGACAGGGAUGAUGCUCAGCUCCUGGGCCACCUCCACCAUCGAAGAAGUUGCCCAGGCGGCUCCUGAUGGCCUUCACUGGAUGCAGCUUUAUAUCUACAAGGACCGGGAGGUCACCAGGUCACUCGUGCAGCGUGCUGAGAGAGCAGGCUACAAAGGAAUCUUUGUGACGGUGGACACGCCACUCCUUGGCAAGCGCUUUGACGAUGUACGCAACAAAUUCCAGCUUCCCCCGCACCUCAGAAUGAAAAAUUUCAACACUGACGAUUUGGCAUUUUCCUCCGAGAAAGGCUACGGCGAAAAUAGCGGACUGGCUGUUUAUGUAGCCCAAGCGAUUGAUCCGUCCGUCAAGUGGGAGGAUAUUAAAUGGCUCAGAGGACUGACAUCUCUGCCGAUCGUCGCUAAAGGAAUUCUCCGAGCUGAUGAUGCUAGAGAAGCUGUGAAGCACGGCGUAAAUGGGAUCCUGGUGUCAAACCAUGGUGCGCGCCAACUGGAUGGUGUGCCAGCAACUAUUGACGUCUUGCCGGAAAUUGUUGAGGCUGUGGGAGGGAAGGUGGAGGUGUUCCUGGAUGGUGGAGUGAGAAAAGGCACGGAUGUUCUCAAGGCAUUAGCUCUUGGUGCCACAGCGGUGUUCAUUGGAAGACCUAUCAUCUGGGGGUUGGCUUAUCAGGGUGAAGAAGGGGCAAAAGAAGUUCUCCAGAUGCUGAAGGAAGAAUUCCAGCUAGCAAUGGCACUUUCUGAUGCUGUCUUUGGGGGCUCCUUCUGGCCUUCCAACUCUAGCAUGAUCAGAAGGAAGAAGAUUGGACCCUUUCCCCACUCCACAUUUUCAGGGGUGGCCGACAGCUUUGUUCUCCCAACUUCCUCCUUCAAGUGGACUGUGAAAGCAAGCUCACUACUUGCAGUACACCAGAAACACCAGUAAGGGAUCAGUUCCCUUCAACUCCACCCCAGCUCUGCAGCAAUGAGCCCUGGAAGGGAUGCCGGAGCGUGAAAGGGAUUGACGCGACAUUGGUACGAAGAACUUCCCCUGCUGCGUCCAAGAUUUAGCACAAAAACGGUGUGGCUCUGGACAAAGCCACCCUAUCCACUGUGGCCAGGUUGUUCUGUUUGGGCCCCAUGAUGAAACCCUUACUUAGGAGAGUAGCCCUAUUGGUUUAUAGGGAGCUAUUUCUGAAAGAAGUCCAUGGGCCAGGUUUUCCUCAGUGCUCAGCACCCCGCGGAGCACUUUUGAAAAUCUGGCCCCUAGUGCGAAUAAGGAUGGCAAGAGUGGGCCCUAAUUCUCUCCCGGUGCACACAAUUGUAGUUGUUGUCCAGCUAACCAGAAAUUGCUGACUUUUCAAUAUGUAUACAGAUGCGAAGAACUUUUCUCAGAUGUUAACAUGCAUGUCUGGAAGUAGCUUAGCUGUUAAAAUGAAACUAUAAACAGAAAUGUUUUGAUAGCAAACAACUCCCAAAAUAUCAAAGUUUAAAGGAUACCUCUUGUUCACUGUUUAUAGAAGCUACACUUCAGAUUGUCCAGAUUAAAUAUUCCUUUCGUAUCAACAUGGCAUCGGUUCCCCUAGCAACUACAUUACUGUGUAAACAGCGUAGGCUGGGAGCUGUGUAACUAUCUUGGAGGCUUUUGAGAUGCAAGGGGUUCUACAGCCAAUCCGGAGUUUGGAGGUUCACAGUCUUAACUGACACAAAUCUCUUUGCACUUAAAUUAUAAUAACAUAUGAAUACCAACCGUAAGCCAGCUCGUCAGCUGGUAUAAAUCCAUGUAGUCCUGGUGACUUGAACACCAGCUGGAGUUCUGCUAUAUUUUUACUUAAAAAAAAUUAACAUUGGUUUAGAUGAUUUCUUGGACAAAUUUCACUUCCCUGAAGUAUAAAUACUAAAUAAUAGUAAUGAUGCAGUAAGUGCUGAGUAUGAUGUCAGCCACACAUCUUAAAGCAUUUCACACGAGGAGAGUAUCUGUGCAUUAUUCUACAGAUGGGAAAACUGACAUGCAGAAACUGCUAAGAAAGUAAGUAAAAUUGAAUGUGUGUCCUCUUAUUUCCGUUGAUGAUGUAUAAAGAAGGCCUGGACAUGCGU